AACUCAGUGAGUUCUGAUAACUGUUCAAAGACUUUGGAGAAAGCACAGUCAGGCCAACUCAGUGACACACGGCGAGGUUUCAGUCUUUGGGCUUUAUUUACCUGAGCGUGUGCAGCCAGUUUGAAAACGAGUUCACUCUCCACCUCGAUGUCGCCCUGGACGAACGCAAGCAGGGAGGGGAGACAUAGAAAGUUCACUUAUGGCCAGGUUAAAGUGAGAUGAGACCAAAUCCAGGAGCUCCCGGGACAACAGCCUGGGCUAUGCAGGAACAGGGAGGAAGACGAGAGAUCGGA